UACGUAGGGUGCAAGCGUUGUCCGGAAUUAUUGGGCGUAAAGAGCGUGUAGGCGGCUUUACGGGUCCGUUGUGAAAACUCGAGGCUCAACCUCGAGACGCCGGUGGAAACCGUAAAGCUAGAGUCCGGAAGAGGAGAGUGGAAUUCCUGGUGUAGCGGUGAAAUGCGCAGAUAUCAGGAGGAACACCCGUGGCGAAAGCGGCUCUCUGGGACGGUACUGACGCUGAGACGCGAAAGCGUGGGGAGCAAACAGG
rnacentral:rRNA from 1 species